CCCUGGGUGGCCAAAUGGUUAAGUGUUUGACUACCAGCCAAAAGGGUGGUGGUUCGAACCCACCUGGAGGCA
rnacentral:tRNA from 1 species